rnacentral:rRNA from 1 species
GAUGAACGCUAGCGGCAGGCUUAAUACAUGCAAGUCGAACGGUAAGUUUGGUAGCAAUAUCAAACCAAGAGUGACGUACGGGUGCGUAACACGUAUGCAACCUACCUUGUACAGGAGUAUAGCUCGGGGAAACUCGAAUUAACCCUCCAUGAGAUCAUAGAAUGGCAUCAUUUAGUGAUUAAAACUCAGGUGGUACAAGAUGGGCAUGCGUCUGAUAGUUAGUUGGCGGGGUAAUGGCCCACCAAGACGAUGAUCAGUAGGGGACCUGAGA